rnacentral:rRNA from 1 species
CCAGACUCCUACGGGAGGCAGCAGUGAGGAAUAUUGGUCAAUGGGCGCGAGCCUGAACCAGCCAAGUCGCGUGAGGGAAGACGGUCCUAUGGAUUGUAAACCUCUUUUGCCGGGGAGCAAAGAGCGGGACGCGUCCCGCCUCGAGAGUACCCGGAGAAAAAGCAUCGGCUAACUCCGUGCCAGCAGCCGCGGUAAUACGUAGGGGGCAAGCGUUAUCCGGAAUUACUGGGUGUAAAGGGAGCGUAGACGGUGAUGUAAGUCUGGAGUGAAAGGCGGGGGCCCAACCCCCGGACUGCUCUGGAAACUAUGUGACUGGAGUGCAGGAGAGGUGAGCGGAAUUCCUAGUGUAGCGGUGAAAUGCGUAGAUAUUAGGAGGAACACCAGUGGCGAAGGCGGCUCACUGGACUGUAACUGACGUUGAGGCUCGAAAGCGUGGGGAGCAAACAGGAUUAGAUACCCUAGUA